rnacentral:rRNA from 1 species
UUCGCAAUGCCCGAAAGGGUGACGAAGCGACGCCGCGUGCGGGAAGAAGGCCUUCGGGUUGUAAACCGCUGUCGGGAGUUAAGAAAUGCAAGGAUAUUAAUAGUGUCUUUGCUUGACUAAGGCUCCGGAGGAAGCCACGGCUAACUCUGUGCCAGCAGCCGCGGUAAUACAGAGGCGGCAAGCGUUGUUCGGAAUUAUUGGGCGUAAAGAGCACGUAGGCGGCCGUGUAAGUCGGUUGUGAAAGCCUUCCGCUCAACGGGAGAACGGCAUCCGAUACUGCAUGGCUCGAGUGCGGGAGGGGAGAGUGGAACUUCUGGUGGAGCGGUGAAAUGCGUAGAUAUCAGAAGGAACACCGGCGGCGAAGGCGACUCUCUGGCCCGUAACUGACGCUGAGUGUGCGAAAGCUAGGGGAGCAAACGGGAUUAGAUACCCCGGUAGUCCUAGCCGUAAACGAUGGGCACUAAGUAGAGGGGUUUU